AUUGAACGCUGGCGGCAGGCCUAACACAUGCAAGUCGAGCGAGCGGCGGAAGGGUGAGGAAUGUCUGGGAAACUGCGCGAGGGAGGGGGGUAACUAAUGGAAACGGUAGCUAAUACCGCAUACUAUCAGAGGUGCGCAGAUGGGAUUAGAUAGUUGGUGAGGUAAUGGCUCACCUAGGCGACGAGCCAUAGCUGGUCUGAGAGGAUGACCAGCCACACUGGAACUGAGACACGGUCCAUACUCCUACGGGAGGCAGCAGUGGGGAAUCUUGCACAAUGGGCGCAAGCCUGAUGCAGCCAUGCCGCGUGUGUGAAGAAGGUUUUCGGGUUGUAAAGCACUGUCAGCGGGGAGGCGGUACCCGCAGAAGAAGCCCCGGCUAACUCCGUGCCAGCAGCCGCGGUAAUUC
rnacentral:rRNA from 1 species